rnacentral:rRNA from 1 species
GGGUUGUGAGGUUAAGCGACUAAGCGUACACGGUGGAUGCCCUGGCAGUCAGAGGCGAUGAAGGACGUGCUAAUCUGCGAUAAGCGUCGGUGAGGUGAUAUGAACCGUUAUAACCGGCGAUUUCCGAAUGGGGAAACCCAGUGUGUUUCGACACACUAUCAUUAACUGAAUCCAUAGGUUAAUGAGGCGAACCGGGGGAACUGAAACAUCUAAGUACCCCGAGGAAAAGAAAUCAACCGAGAUUCCCCCAGUAGCGGCGAGCGAACGGGGAGGAGCCCAGAGCCUGAAUCAGUGUGUGUGUUAGUGGAAGCGUCUGGAAAGGCGUGCGAUACAGGGUGACAGCCCCGUACACAAAAAUGCACAUAUUGUGAGCUCGAUGAGUAGGGCGGGACACGUGGUAUCCUGUCUGAAUAUGGGGGGACCAUCCUCCAAGGCUAAAUACUCCUGACUGACCGAUAGUGAACCAGUACCGUGAGGGAAAGGCGAAAAGAACCCCGGCGAGGGGAGUGAAAAAGAACCUGAAACCGUGUACGUACAAGCAGUGGGAGCCUCUUAAUGGGGUGACUGCGUACCUUUUGUAUAAUGGGUCAGCGACUUAUAUUCUGUAGCAAGGUUAACCGAAUAGGGGAGCCGAAGGGAAACCGAGUCUUAACUGGGCGUUAAGUUGCAGGGUAUAGACCCGAAACCCGGUGAUCUAGCCAUGGGCAGGUUGAAGGUUGGGUAACACUAACUGGAGGACCGAACCGACUAAUGUUGAAAAAUUAGCGGAUGACUUGUGGCUGGGGGUGAAAGGCCAAUCAAACCGGGAGAUAGCUGGUUCUCCCCGAAAGCUAUUUAGGUAGCGCCUCGUGAAUUCAUCUCCGGGGGUAGAGCACUGUUUCGGCAAGGGGGUCAUCCCGACUUACCAACCCGAUGCAAACUGCGAAUACCGGAGAAUGUUAUCACGGGAGACACACGGCGGGUGCUAACGUCCGUCGUGAAGAGGGAAACAACCCAGACCGCCAGCUAAGGUCCCAAAGUCAUGGUUAAGUGGGAAACGAUGUGGGAAGGCCCAGACAGCCAGGAUGUUGGCUUAGAAGCAGCCAUCAUUUAAAGAAAGCGUAAUAGCUCACUGGUCGAGUCGGCCUGCGCGGAAGAUGUAACGGGGCUAAACCAUGCACCGAAGCUGCGGCAGCGACACUAUGUGUUGUUGGGUAGGGGAGCGUUCUGUAAGCCUGUGAAGGUGGCCUGUGAGGGUUGCUGGAGGUAUCAGAAGUGCGAAUGCUGACAUAAGUAACGAUAAAGCGGGUGAAAAGCCCGCUCGCCGGAAGACCAAGGGUUCCUGUCCAACGUUAAUCGGGGCAGGGUGAGUCGACCCCUAAGGCGAGGCCGAAAGGCGUAGUCGAUGGGAAACAGGUUAAUAUUCCUGUACUUGGUGUUACUGCGAAGGGGGGACGGAGAAGGCUAUGUUGGCCGGGCGACGGUUGUCCCGGUUUAAGCGUGUAGGCUGGUUUUCCAGGCAAAUCCGGAAAACCAAGGCUGAGGCGUGAUGACGAGGCACUACGGUGCUGAAGCGACAAAUGCCCUGCUUCCAGGAAAAGCCUCUAAGCAUCAGGUAACAUCAAAUCGUACCCCAAACCGACACAGGUGGUCAGGUAGAGAAUACCAAGGCGCUUGAGAGAACUCGGGUGAAGGAACUAGGCAAAAUGGUGCCGUAACUUCGGGAGAAGGCACGCUGAUAUGUAGGUGAAGCGACUUGCUCGUGGAGCUGAAAUCAGUCGAAGAUACCAGCUGGCUGCAACUGUUUAUUAAAA